UCCUCAGUGAAAUAACUCAAGAAACAAAGUCAAAUAUGGCAUAUUCUCACUUAUAAGUGGGAGCUAAAUAAUGGGUAUACAUGGACAUACAGAGCAGAAUAAAAGACAUCGGAGACUAUGAAAGGAACUUCUUAGCAGAUCCACAAUGUGUGUCAUCUACCCAACCUCAUUAUCCGGGCCCGUCUCUCAUCCUCCCACACCAUCCAUGUCACAGCCUGGCUGCCUACUGCCUUUCAAAGGAUAACCAGUUGUCCAGUUUAUAAACUCCAAUUUCACUUUAAUAAAUUAAAUUCCAAGCCAUCA